rnacentral:rRNA from 1 species
AUGCUUGUUCACGGUGACCAAACAUGCUUCAUUACUGGUCGAUGUAUCGCCGAAAACUUCAUCUACGCAGCCGACUCGUUGAAUUGCUGCCACAAAUGCAAAGCUGACACCAUGGUCCUUAAACUUGACUUCAGAAAGGCUUUUGACUCAAUCUCCUGGACCUCCUUAAUUAAAAUUCUUCGACACCGUGGCUUCCCAACCCGCUUCUGUAAUUGGGUUGACGACCUACUAACCUCCGGAAAAACUGCUAUCUCUCUAAACGGUAUCCCUGGUAGCUGGAUACAAUGCAGGAAUGGCCUGCGGCAAGGUGACCCCAUCUCACCCUACCUUUUCAUCAUAGUAGCUGACGUUCUCCAGCAGAUGAUC